AGUGAACGCUGGCGGUAGGCCUAACACAUGCAAGUCGAACGGCAGCACAGUAAGAGCUUGCUCUUACGGGUGGCGAGUGGCGGACGGGUGAGGAAUACAUCGGAAUCUACUUUUUCGUGGGGGAUAACGUAGGGAAACUUACGCUAAUACCGCAUACGACCUACGGGUGAAAGCAGGAGAUCUUCGGACCUUUCGCGAUUGAAUGAGCCGAUGUCGGAUUAGCUAGUUGGCGGGGUAAAGGCCCACCAAGGCGACGAUCCGUAGCUGGUCUGAGAGGAUGAUCAGCCACACUGGAACUGAGACACGGUCCAGACUCCUACGGGAGGCAGCAGUGGGGAAUAUUGGACAAUGGGCGCAAGCCUGAUCCAGCCAUACCGCGUGGGUGAAGAAGGCCUUCGGGUUGUAAAGCCCUUUUGUUGGGAAAGAAAAGCAGCAGGUUAAUCCCCCGCUGUUCUGACGGUACCCAAAGAAUAAGCAACGGCUAACUUCGUG
rnacentral:rRNA from 1 species